rnacentral:rRNA from 1 species
AUGUAUCAGUACACGCCUUUACAAGGUGAAACCGCGAACGGCUCAUUAUAACAGCUAUAAUUUACUGGACCUUGAGCAAUUACUCGGAUAACUGUGGUAAUUCUAGAGCUAAUACGUGCACCGAAGCUGUCCCUCACGGGGCAGUGCAUUUAUUUGAGCAAAACCAGGCGACUUCGGUCGUUUCAGCUGACUCAGAAUAACUAAGCUGAUCGCAUGGGCUUGUCCCGGCGACGUGUCUUUCAAGUGUCUGCCUUAUCAACUUUCGAUGGUAGUGUACGUGACUACCAUGGUGUUGACGGGUAACGGAGGAUAAGGGUUCGACUCCGGAGAAGGGGCCUGAGAAAUGGCCACUACGUCUAAGGAUGGCAGCAGGCGCGCAAAUUACCCACUCUCGGUUCGAGGAGGUAGUGACGAAAAAUAACAAGGCCGUUCUCUUUGAGGCCGGCCAUUGGAAUGGGUACAACUUAAACCCUUUAACGAGUAUCAAUGAGAGGGCAAGUCUGGUGCCAGCAGCCGCGGUAAUUCCAGCUCUCAAAAUGCAUAGAAUCAUUGCUGCGGUUAAAAAGCUCGUAGUUGGAUCUGUGCCGGCGUCGUGGUCCGCCUUAACGGGCGGUACUGCGCACGUCGGCUUUGGGCCGGUCUUCGGACGGUCGCCUUAACUGGUGGCCGCUCGUGGCUGGCUGGUUUACUUUGAGCAAAUCAGAGUGCUCAGCACAGGCGUCUCGCCGGAAUGUUCGUGCAUGGAAUAAUGGAAAAGGAUUUCGGUCCUCUUUUAUUGGUUUUGUGGACUGAGAUAAUGGUUAACAGAGACGGACGGGGGCAUUCGUAUUGCUGCGUGAGAGGUGAAAUUCUUGGACCGCAGCAGGACGGACUACAGCGAAAGCAUUUGCCAAGAAUG